rnacentral:sRNA from 1 species
CCACACAAUCAAAAAUCAAAAAAAAA